GGGGGCAGGAGUCCUUUUCUUUUGCAAAUUGUCUAUGGUGAGCACCCUAUUUUGAUAGCACAACCAAUUGAAGAUCUUAACCUUCUCAGGUAACGGAGUUUUCCAAAUUAUUUUGCUGAAGAAGGAAAUCAUUCCUCCAUGCAUCAAGAAGAAAUAGAUUCUCACUUAGAAUGGUUUGGUUGGUAUCCAUUUCUAACAUCUCG
rnacentral:lncRNA from 1 species